UGUCUCCUGUGCCUCUCUCAGAGCACCUGUGAUCCUCUCGCCGUCUCGGAUGCAACAGUGGGAGCUGCGGCAGCGCUGGACGUAAUCUCAUGGUGUGUUCUGACGCUUCCCUCGCACACAGACACGAUCUGAGAGAGCAACUGAUCGAGCCGCGUCCACAGCUCUGACAGCCGUCAUGUCGUGGUUGUUCCUGGACUGGUUCGUGCCCCUCUACCUGCUGGUGUCGGUUCUGGUGCUGGCAGGCUUCGGAGCGUGCCUGUACUUCUUGGAGCCCGGGCUGCAGGAUGCCCACAAGUGGAGCAACAAAACAGUCCGGCAUCACCCGCUGGUGGCCAGUGUGAACUGCAGAGAUGACGAUAGCAAUGCUCUGAUAUGAUCAAGAGGGGAGGGCGGCAGGCCAUCUGGACAGGGGUGCUGCCGGGACACCGGUGGGAUGGAAGCCAACACCUCAACGACCGAGAGAGGAAGAUGAGGAGGAUGAGAGAUGGAAGAGGAGACGAUGUGAUAAUACAAACCUUGGUCCUGCUUUCUUCCAGCUUCUCUCUGACUUCUGCAGAUUCUCUCUGCAGGGAUUAGGGAGAAGAAUUCCUUUUAAAAAAUAAUAAUAAAUGAAGCCAAAUGCACAAAGGAGGAGAAGCUGCAGAAGAAAAAGAUUGUGAGGUGAUUGGAGGACAUGUUGCCCUUUAGAAAUGUGUUUGUUAAAUCCACUUAUACCAUCUUAUAUACUUGUGCCAACUUUUACAUACGUUUUGUAAUUUGACAAUCACUUUACAUAUAUGCCAUGAAGUUUACUUACAUUGUGCAUUUAAUUAGUGGAGGAAAUGACAUAAGUGCUGCCAGCAGGGAGGGUUUUUGAAUCCUCCCUCUGAUGUCGGCAUGGCAGCUGCUGAGACGCAUGUUGUGCCAAAAUGGUGUAGUAGUGACUUUACUAAAAUAAUAUGUACUGAAUAAAUGCAAACUGAUUUAUUGCAGGUGCCAAGAUUACACUAGGUGGACCAAGACUAGAGGGAAAAAAAUAGUAUUUGGUGAUGCUCAGUGUCUAUUUUUUUGUUUUCAUCAUUUUUACUUGACAGCAUGGUGAGGAAACUAUGGGUGUGUAACCCUCUUUGAUCAUAUGCUUCCUUUGUUCAUACAAAAAUAAAACUGUUCAAUCCUUA